CGUGUUACAAUGGGGGGUACAGAGGGCCGCUACCACGCGAGUGGAUGCCAAUCCCCAAAACCUCUCUCAGUUCGGACUGGAGUCUGCAACCCGACUCCACGAAGCUGGAUUCGCUAGUAAUCGCGCAUCAGCCACGGCGCGGUGAAUACGUUCCCGGGCCUUGUACACACCGCCCGUCAAGCCAUGGGAGCCGGGGGUACCUGAAGUGCGUAACCGCGAGGAGCGCCCUAGGGUAAAACUGGUGACUGGGGCUAAGUCGUAACAAGGUAGC
rnacentral:rRNA from 1 species